UACAGAGGGUGCGAGCGUUAAUCGGAAUUACUGGGCGUAAAGGGUGCGUAGGUGGUUGCUUAAGUUAGAUGUGAAAUCCCCGGGCUUAACCUGGGAAUGGCAUUUAAGACUGAGUAGCUAGAGUUUGGUAGAGGGAAGUGGAAUUUCCGGUGUAGCGGUGAAAUGCGUAGAUAUCGGAAGGAACACCAGUGGCGAAGGCGACUUCCUGGACCAUCACUGACACUGAGGCACGAAAGCGUGGGGAGCGAAC
rnacentral:rRNA from 1 species